AGUCCAUGCCGCGUGAGUGAUGACGGCCUUCGGAUUGUAAAGCUCUUUUGUCAGGGAUGAAGGUGACGUGGCUAAUACGCUUGGCCCUUGACGGUACCUGCACAAGAAGCCCCGGCUAACUUCGUGCCAGCAGCCGCGGUAAUACGGAAGUGGCAAGCGUUAAUCGGAAUUACUGGGCGUAAAGCGCGCGCAGGCGGUCUGUUAAGUCUGAUGUGAAAUCCCCGGGCUCAACCGGGGAAGUGCAUUGGAAACUGGGAGACUUGAGUGCUGUGAGAGGAGAGUGGAAUUCCAUGUGUAGCGGUGAAAUGCGUAGAGAUCUGGAGGAACACCGGUGGCGAAGGCGACUCUCUGGACUGUAACUGACGCUGAGGCGCGAAAGCGUGGGGAGCAAACAGGAUUAUAUACCCCGGUAGA
rnacentral:rRNA from 1 species